GUUCAAAUCUUGCUUUUCGCUCUAGGUCCAACGAUGGCUAAAGUUGGGAAUGAUUUCCGGGAGAUCCCUUAGCAGCCCAGCCCUAAAAAGGGACAAGACUGUAACUCUAAGACCCUUCAAUCAUUCCUUCUCUUCGACAACCAAAAUGCCCACGAAAUUCUUCAGGAUCGAAAUCAAUUCACACAAAAUCACGCCAUUACUGACUCAUUGAAUUCGCGAAAGACGACAGAUUUGAAACUUUUGUUUCUGAGCACAAACGCAGAACGAUGCAUUUGCGCAGGAGAUCGCGCGAGAGCAUGUCACUACGUUUAAGUUUGAGUCAAAUAUGGGUUUAUUUUCGAAUCGAUUCUUGUCGAUCAUUUAUUAUCAGUGGAUGUUAUGGAUGUUGGAGUCUCCAAAAUUUCUUUUACCUAUUUGUAUAAUUGGAAUCACUCAUUAGGCAGGUUUGGUCUUUAUUUAUCUUUGUGUAUAUUGAAAUUGGAUUGUCUGUGGUUUGUGAGUAUCGUAAUUUUGAAUUUUUUGUACGUUUUCUCAACAUAAUCAAUUCUUUUUGAUUGUUUGUCUGAGGUUUACCGAAAAGUUAUGUGAAGAAGCUAUACCGGUUAGUAUGCACACAAGUCCUAGAGCAUCCAGACAAUUGAUAAUCUUCCUGUUCAUUGUUCCAACUUUACUUUCGGCAAUCCUUCAAUAUUACUUUUGCAAGCAUGAGCAUCUUUCCAGUCAGGUAGGCGAUAAACAAACUAAACCUAACUUUUUCAACAAUAAGUCAUAGAAAAUUGACGUUUCAUAGCUGUCAGUGCAUGAGCAUCAGAAAAAGUGUUGCCAUAUUUCCGAAAUACUCCUGAUACUUUCGAAAUUGCAAGGUUUAUAACUCAAAAUGUUAAGGCUGCUUUAAAGGCUCAGUCAUUGUGGUAGUAGUUCGUUCAAAGGUCCCAGGGAUGAAUGAAUACAAAUUAUUUCAUGAAUUUUUUUAUUACGUCCCAAGAAAAAAAUUCUUCAUCGAAUUAUUGUUACAUAGUUUUCAUUACAAUCAUCGAAUUAAUAAAUUUAUCUUUUUUGUAAAUAGAUACAAUAAUAUACGUAACUACGAUGAAAAUAACCUCCAAAUACAUCAAUAAAAUAAUCAAUCGUAAAUAA